AGGACGAACGCUGGCGGCACGCUUAACACAUGCAAGUCGAACGUGAAACUCGGAGCUUGCUCCGGGUGGAAAGUGGCGAACGGGUGAGUAACACGUGAGGAACCUGCCCCGAAGACUGGGAUAACACCGGGAAACCGGUGCUAAUACUGGAUGCCCUCUCUGGAUCGCAUGAUCCGGCGAGGAAAUGGAUUCCGCUUCGGGAUGGCCUCGCGGCCUAUCAGCUUGUUGGUGGGGUAACGCCUACCAAGGCAACGACGGGUAGCUGGUCUGAGAGGAUGUCCAGCCACACUGGGACUGAGACACGGCCCAGACUCCUACGGGAGGCAGCAGUGGGGAAUCUUGCGCAAUGGGCGAAAGCCUGACGCAGCGAUGCCGCGUGCGGGAUGAAGGCCUUCGGGUUGUAAACCGCUUUCAGCGAGGACGAAUGACGUACUGACAGAAGAACGCCCGCCAACUACGUCGCCGAGCAGCCGC
rnacentral:rRNA from 1 species